UACGUAGGCAGCGAGCGUUGUUCGGAGUUACUGGGCGUAAAGGGUGUGUAGGCGGUUCUUUAAGUUUGGUGUGAAAUCUCCCGCUUAACCGGGAGGGUGCGCCGAAUACUGAGGGACUAGAGUGCGGGAGAGGAAAGUGGAAUUCCUGGUGUAGCGGUGAAAUGCGUAGAUAUCAGGAAGAACACCCGUGGCGAAGGCGGCUCUCUGGGACGGUACUGACGCUGAGACGCGAAAGCGUGGGGAGCGAACAGG
rnacentral:rRNA from 1 species